rnacentral:rRNA from 1 species
CCCUUAGAUGUUCUGGGCCGCACGCGUGCUACACUGAGUGGAUCAGCGGGUCAGGUUGCGCGAAAGCGUUUCCUAAUCUUUAAAUCCGCUCGUGAUGGGGAUUGACGGUUGCAAUUUUCUGUCAUGAACGAGGAAUACCUUGUAAGCGCGGGUCAUCAUCCCGCGCUGAAUACGUCCCUGCCCUUUGUACACACCGCCCGUCGCUACCACCGAUUGAACGGUUUAGUGAGGGCCUCGGAUUGGUCUCGGCCCGCUCUUUACCGGGCGGCGCCGUUGGUCGAGAAGACGCUCGAACUUGAUCGUUUAGAGGAAGUAAAAGUCGUAACA